GACAUCAAUCUGAAAGAAAGAAAGAAAGAAAGAAAGAAAAGUCUCUUAGCAAGUACAGAAGGACCAACUCUGCAGAGCCGGGCCUCCUCCUGGGAGAGGCUGAGAAUGGAGCAACGGGAGCUCCCACACAGCCAGCACCCCUGCCUUGAUCUCUGUGGUGGACCAGCUAGGAACUAUUGGGACUAGAGCACUGAGUUUCCAUUCUGCCGAGCAGAGUAUGCAUUCUUGAAGCCUACUCCAGCUGUCAGUGAGCGACAAGGAAGAGACUGGGUUAUGAGGCAAUACAUUUAAGUACCCUGAACUUUACUAAUAGGGAAAAGAAUAUUUCCAGCAAGUGAUUCUAAGUCUAAACCUUGGUGUAUGGAAAUAUUUGGCCAAGGACACAGCAGGGUUCAGAUAAUCCAAACGCUACAGAAAGAGCCAAAGGUUUCCAGCAAACUAAGGGACGAGACAUUCAGAAGGUCCCAAGCGCAUGCGUCGAGCCUCCAGAGUGACACAGCUGUUCCAAUGACUAAGGAGGCUGGGGGAGGAAGCUGCCAGCUAUUACUAGAUACACAGAUGUCAGUGUACAAAGGCACCAGAUGGACUUUAGCGAAGUACCUCAGACAGGGUCUCGUGAAAUCCAGCCUGGAUGGAAUGUGCUGUGAUAGAGACGGCAGUGUCCAGCAUGUGCUUGGGAGACUUUCACUGAAUUCAGUGUAAGUAUCUUUGGGAUUCAUUGUAUUAAAUGCAAAGUUUAUGUAUUAUUGUGGACCAGGAUUGUAUGUAACCUCUUGUAAAGAGUUCACUCAUAGCAGGAGCGCUGCCUCAUGGCCAGACAUGGCAUAGCAACUGUCUUCCCAUAUGGCACCCCAUAUGGCUGCCCUAUCGCUGCAGUGGUCUCUCUCCCCACAACUUGUCCCUCUGGACAAGUCAUGCUUUAGUCCACCCCUCCCAGGGUAAAAGAGCGUCUAAUGACCUUACAACAGGUCUUCUGUCUGCCUCUGGGCUCUUUAUACCCCUUACCUCAUGGGGUUUCACCCCACCUUUCUCAUUGGUUGGUAGGGGAACCCAGGCCUACCCUCUGCUCUGGGUUUCAGCCCAGGACCCGCUGGCUAGCAGCCAAGGGUCCCUCAGAGUCCUUGCUGCCCCCCCGGACCACUUCUUACCUCUUCUAUACUCCACUGAGUGACUGAAGACUCUCCCCCUGCAGCUCCUUUCUGCUGCAAAUUUCCUGGUUUUUUAAGCACCACCCAGCCCCUCCCCAGCUGUGCUCCAUCAUCAAUCAGGCCCACAUUAAUCCAUUCAGGGAUUGUGUGGAGUACACACCCCAUUGCACCUCCCUAGGGGGGAGAUAUGAUCUGAGGCCUGCAAGUUCAAAGGACUACCACUGAAAAUGUGCCAGACAAGAAUAGACUUUUGGACAAGAAUAGACAAUAAGCGUUAAGUGGGUUUCCUGUGGAGUACCUGGAAGGAGGGGGGAGGGUUCCUUGAUGCAAAUUCCCCACUUCUGAUUAUGCACAAACCCUGCCUUUUGAAACUAUGCCCUGAGAGACGGGUCUUUGUCUGCUGGUUACCUGUUCCCGAAGAUUAGAGAUCAAAGGCCCAAGCUGUAUAAAGAAACAGAUGAACUGCCCAGCUAGUCGUUCUGGUUCAGAAUUUGAGACAGUCAUUAACUUGCAGCCCUGUGGGUUUUGAAGGACUGAUGCCCACCAGAACUUGCAGCUGGAGACGGAGGACUGCCGUUGAGCAUUUAGAAUGUGUGAGGGUUUUUUAUUGUUUUCUCUGUAAUGCUUUCACCUUAAGAAUAAAUGUGCUUGCUUAGAAAGAUCUGUGUGGUGACUGGUGAUUGCUGGUAAUUA